UUUUUUUUUUGUAAAGGUAAAGAUAAAAGAUAUAAAUGGUUAGAAGAUUAAAAUAAAAUGAAUAUUGUAUGCCACUAAAAAGGUUUGAUUGAAGGGUUAAGACCCAGGCUUACCUCCUUUGAAUUUGACCCUAAAUUUAAAAAUGAAUUAAAAGCAUAAUGUUUUUGACAGGUCAAUGCGUAGUUAUUGAUAUGUUUUCAGGUUUUACAGGAUGGGGUCAACCGUUUUGGAUGGUCAAUACUCUGUUUUUAUCUUUCUCCUAAAAGAAAUUGUUUUCCAAUAAAUAAAUAAAUAACAAUGAGGUAGAAAGUGGAAAGUUCCCAUUCAUUGAAUGCUUCAUUAGAGAAAAAAAGGAAAAAAGGGGAAAAGGGGAGGAAUGUUUUGAUUUUUGUUCCAUUAUGAAUGAUUGGAUAAUAUGGACAGCUCAACUUAAUUAUUUUGCAUUUUGCAUCUUCAUUUUAAUAUUAUUUUUCAUGUGAUUUUAUGUUCCACCCCAAAUCGAUUUUUGGGAUUUUGUUUGUCACAUUUGCAUGUUAGCCAUUAUUAGUGUUUUUAGCUCAAACUUACAUGAGAUAGAUCUAUAUUUUGUCAUUUUUCUUUUCCUCUAAUAUUAUAAUUCAAUCAUGUAACAUAAUUGGUGUAAGUGAUCUGAUAUAUUAAUAAUACAAACUUUUAUUUAUUUAUAUAUUUCAUUUUGAAAAAAAAUUUAUGAUAUUAGUUUCAUACGAAUAUUUAUUACAAUUCUCAAAAUUUAUAUACGUAAAUCACAUAAGUAAUCAUCACAUACCAAGAUUAUUAAUGAUACGUUUAAAAAAAAUAAGAUCUCUUUAAAAUAAGUAAAAAAAAUUCUUUCUUUUUGUCACAAACAAGUCGUAUGUGAAUAGCUAAAAAUUACCAAAUAUGAUUAGUUCAUAGCUAAUCCAUAACUAAAACAUGUGGCAAAAAUAAUACUCCUAUGAAACGUAACAUAGUGUUUUAUAUGAUAUCAUUAAAAUUGAAUUUCAAAAGCACAUAAAGCUUCAAGCAUUAAAUCUAAGGAGGAGGCAACCCAUCUCUACUCAAGAUAUCAACUAGGGUAACUAAUUUUGAAAAUUGAUUAUUUUGUAAAAUAUAAAUUUAUAUAAUGUUAUGCACGAAAAUAUCAAAAGGGGUGAAUUAUUAUUUUAAUUUAUUUUUAUAUAUUUUUUAAAAUGGAAGGAGAAGGGAGAAAAGAUUGGAUCCUUAUUCCAAUUGCCUAACUCCACUACUUGCUAUUUUAAUUAAGGAUUUCUCAAUUCAGUGCUUAGAAUUGAUACCUUUUAUGGACAAGAUAUAAACUUUACAAGUCUAUCUUUUCAAAAGUUUAGAUAAAAUUUUUCCCCCUAGUUUUUGUCGCUUAACUAGUAACCCUCUAAUUACAAAUUGAUGAUUUGAUGAAGUAAACAAACGAACCUUUACAAGAUGAGUGUUUAUAAGCUUUUUGGCUCAUAAAAAAAUAAAAUAAAAUGAGACUUAUAAAUAAUUCGACAAUAUACUCCUAGAGAAUAUUUAUAAGAGAAAAUGAAAGAAUGAAUAAUUAAAGGCUUUUCUUUUACUUUAGAUGCUUGGAUGUUCAAUUCUUGUCUCUUGUAAUGUCUUUUAACUUGUAUUUAUACCAAAGAAUAAGUUUAUGGAUGUUUAGAGCCAUUGGAAGUGAAUUAGAACCACUACAAUAAUUAAUUUUGGGCUGAAAAAGUGUCCUUGCAAUUUAGGUAUAGAUACUUAUCAAGGGAAUAUCAAUACCUUAGCUAAAAGUAGAUGUUUAUAUCCAUUAUAACUACAAGUCUCAAUACUUGCAUAGUUAUCGAUACAUUGCCCUGCUAGAUUGAUUGAUAUGUGGCUACUGGCUUGAAAUAUAUCGACAUCUAGACCUCUAGUAUUGAUACUUUAUCUAUCAAAAUGCCUCGAAAACAUUUUAAAUACCUUAGGACAUUUUGAUAUUGACUCAAAAUUUUUUGGAUAAGUUAACACAUUUAAAACAUGCUUUUGAAAUAUUUUGAAAAUGUUUUAUGCUUAAAUGACUUGGUUAAUAAAAAAUUAUCAUAAAUAUUAUUAUAUUAAAAGCUUGACACAUCAAAAUUAAAAAUUAAUUUCUUUCAUUUAUAUAACAAAAAUUUUAAAAAUAUAUAUUGAAAAAAAAUUCUCCCUAAGUUAUUUAGACAUUUUUUUAAAUAAUCUCAUUAUAGGAUUUUAUCAUAUCUAUUCUUUGUGGAACUAUGCCUACAACUAUCCAUAACCCCUCUCCAACUCAUAAAUAGGAAGAUAAUGCACUUCAACGCACUUGAACCUAUGUUUUCCUGUAUUGGCAACAAUAUCCAUGCCAAUCGAACUAAUACUCAAUCAACAAACAUUUUUAAAAUAUGAAUUCCCCUUAAUCAAACAUUUCUUUAAAAACUUUUAAAUCGAUACUUAAACGAGACUUUAAAUUUAUUGAAUUUCAAUAGAAAAUAUAUAAAAUUUAACAAAUAAAUCUAAGAAUUCAUAAAUGUGAUGCAUAAAUCAAUAUAUGAAAGGAAAAAUGGUAGGAAUGUUUAGAUUUUCUCAUAUUAUGAAUUAUGGUAAACGUGUGCGUUGCGAAUUGCGGUGGUCGAUUUUUGGGAUUUUGUUUGUCACAUUUGCAUGUUAGCCAUUAUUAAUGUUUUUAGCUCAUAUAUAGAUCUAUAUUUUGUCAUUUUUCUUUUCCUAUAAUAUUAUAAUUCAAUUAUGUAACAUAGUUGGUGUAAGUGAUCUGAUCUAUUAAUAAUACAAAUUUUUAUUUAUUUAUAUAUUUCACUUUGGAGAAAAAAUCUACAAUAUUGGUUUCAUACAAAUACUUAUUACAACUCUCAAAAUUUAUAUACGUAAAUUUCAUAAGUAAAGUCACAUGCUAAGAAUCUUAAUAAUAUAUUUGAAAAAAAUAAGAUCUCUUCAAAAUAAGUAAAAAAAAAAAUCUUUUUGUCACAAACAAAUUAUAUGUGAAUAGCUAAAAAUUACCAAAUGAGAUUAGUUCAUAGCUAAUCCAUAAUUAAAAUAUGUGACAAAAAUAAUACUCGUACGAAACAUAGCAUAAGUGUUUUACAUGAUAUCAUUAAAAGUGAAUUUCAAAAGCAUUUAGAGGUUCAAAAUUAAUUCUAAGGAGCAAGCAACCCAUCUCUACUCAAGAUAUCAACUAGGAUAAGUAACUUUGAAAAUUAAUUAUUUUAUAAAUUAUAUAAAAAUAAUGUUACGCCCGAAAAUACUAAGAAGGAAGAAUUGUGAUUUUAAAUUAUUUUUUUACAAUAUUUUUUUAAAUGGAAGGAAAAGGGAGAAAAGAUUAGAUGCUUACUCCAAUUGCCUAACUCUACUCCUUUGGUAUUCCUUAACUAAGGAUUUCUCAAUUUACUGCUUAAAAUUGAUCCCUUUUUUGGACAAGAUAUGAACUUUACAACUUUAUCUUUUCAAAGGUUUAGAUAAUUUUUUUCUCCCUCUAGUUUUUAUGGUUAAAUUAAAAUCCUCUAGUUUUUGUCGCUCAACUAGUAACCUUCCACUUACAAACUGGUGAUUUGAUAAAGUAAACAAAUGAACAUUUACAAGAUGGGUGUUUACAAGCUUUUUGGCUCAUAAAAAAAUAAAAUAAAAUGAGACUUAUUGAUGAAGUCUCAAGGACCAAUUUUAGACUCAUGAAUGUGAUGGACUCACACUACCUUAAAGUCCAACAGCAAUGUCAAAGGCUAAGCAAAUUAAAUUAGGGUUCGAACAAAUACAAUAUUCGAGGAAAAGGGGAAUGAUACAUGAUCCACCAAUGGGGUGAAAAUUAUUAAAUUCCAUUCAACAAAGCUGCCAAUUUUCAAGUUUGGGAAAUCAAUAGACUUGCAACAACCUUUUGAAUGGGAUCCUGACAUUUUUGGAUUGAGAUGUCUUCAUGGCCUAAUUCUUUAUCACUUAUAAACAAUUUGACAAUAUAAUCCUAAAGAAUAUUUAUAAGGAAAAAAAUGAAAGAAUGAAUAAUUAAAGGCUUUUCUCUUACUUUAGAUGUUUUGAUGUUCAAUUCUUGUGUCUUAUAAUGUCUUUGACUUGUAUUAUACAGAAGAAUAAGUUUAUAGAUGUUUGGAGCCAUUAGAAGUGAAUUAGAGCCAUUACAAGAAUUAAUUUUGGGCUGAAAAAGUGUCCUUGCAAUUUAGAUAUAGAUACUUACCAAGUGGUUAUCAAUACCUUAGAACAUUUUGAUAUUGAGUCAAAAACUUUUGAAUAAGUUGACACAUUUAAAACAUGCUUUGAUGCUUAAAUAGCUUGGUUAAUUAAAAAAUUUAUCAUAAAUGUUAUUAUAUUAAAAGCUUAAGACAUCAAAAUUAAAAAUUAAUUUCUUUCUUUUAUAUAACAAAAUUUUAAAGUAUAUAUUGAAAAAAAUUCUCCCUAAACUAUUUAGACAUUUUUUUGAAUAAUCUCAUUAUAGGAUUUGAUCAUAUUUGUUCCUUAUAACAUAAUGCCUAGAACUACUCAUAAAUAGGAAGAUAAUGCGUUUCAGUGAAUUCAAAUUCACGCUCUCCUGCAUUAGUAACAAUACUCAUGUCAAUCGAAUUAAGACUCAAUCGAAAAACAUUUUUAAAAUAUGAGUUCUCCUUUGUACAGGCCCAAAUUUAACUAAGCCCAAUGGACCAACUAAAAGACCCAACCUAACCCCAUUACAUUAGCCCAAUCCCUAAAAAAGCCCUAGCCCGAAUAACCCCAAACAGACCCAACUAAUCAGUUUAGGGUUUUAGAAAAGCUGAAACCCAAAAUCACCUAAUCCCACCGCCUCAGUCACAUCGUCAGUGCAAAUGGCACCUGCCUCCACCGCCGUUCGCCUGCAAUAUUAAAGAAGAAAGGAUAGUGCAGAAAAGGUUGAAAUCUUUGUAAAAAAUGGGCUAUAUAAGCCACAAGAGAAUUGGGUGUAAGGGGUUCGGGAUUUUCUUUCUUUUUUUUCAAAAUAUAAGAGGGAAAUAACAUCAAAAAGGCUUCAAUAUAUACUCGAAAUCGCAGCAAGGGAUACAAAAGACCGAAUCAAAGGUCUAUUUAUCUUUUUAUCUUUUUUCUUUUUUCGAAUUUAUUUGCAUAUAUCAUCUUUACUCUAAUGAAAACAAUAUAUAUGUAUAUAUAUUAGAUAUAAAUAUAUUUAAAAAAAUAGAAAAAUUUUACCUUUAGGGUGGCCGGCACGAUGGCGACGGCGAUGGUGUGUGGUGGCCCUCCUGGCCAGGAUCUGGGGUUUCCCAGAGAAAAAGGGAGAAUUCUCCCUCUCUUUUUUUGAAACAGCAAUGAAAUGAGCUGUUAAAAAAAAUUUGUGGCCUUUAUAGGCUGACCGAAACAGCAGCGUUUUGAGGUACCCUCCCCAGAUGCAAAACGACGUCGUUUUGGGGAGGGAACCCGUGACCCGACCCACCUGGGAAGAGAUCCGCGUGUUUUUUAAGGAAAGGGCUAUUUGCGCAUUUAGCCCUUCCGCUCUUUCAUGUAUCUACAAUCAAGUUAUUUUUACUUUUAAUUCGGCCCUAGAAUUUGUCCUGCUUUUCAAUUUGGUCCUCGGCCACGUGCUACAUUUUAGGAUGGGGGAAUAUUGCAUUUUCAGUACUUCUAGGUUGUGCACAUGUUGCAAUUUGGUCGUUUUCUUUUUAUUUCUUUUGAAAUUCGCCCCAAAGUUCGUUUUUGUUUCGAUUUUCGUCCCUUUUUUACUUUUUCUCAUUAUUUUAUUUUAAUUUUAAUAUUAUUCAUACUAUUAUAUUUUAUUACUGUUAUUAUUUUUAUGUUUUUUUAUUUAUUAGCAUUUCAUUAUUAUUAUUUUUACUUAAUACCUAUAUAUAUUAUAUAGUAUUAUUAAUAGUUUUUGAUAUUAUUGUUUUUGCUAAUAUAUUCGUAUGUCAUAUAUACAUCUUUUUAAUAUAUAUAUUAUACUCCAUAUUAUGCACAUGUAUAUUAAUAUUAUAUCAUGUAUAUAUUUUUUUAAUAUUAUAUUUUUAUAUAUUAUGUAUAUAUUGUUAAUAUCAUAUUAUUCAUAUAUUUUAUUAUGUAUAUUUUUUAUAACUAUAUUAUGUACAUAUUUCAUAUAUAUAUCAUGUAUAUAUAUUUUUAAUAUUAUAUUUUUUACGUAUAUUAUGUAUAUAUCUUUAAUAUCAUAUUAUUCAUACAUUUUUUAUAUUAUCCCAUGUAAAUACUUUCAAUACUAUAUUAUGCCUAUAUUUUCGUCUAUAUUAGAUAUAUACUUUUAAUGCUCGAUACUAUUAUUAUUUCUAGUAUGUAUAUAUUAUGUAUAUAUUUUUAAUACUACGUAUAUAUUUUUUAUUUCUAUUAUUACGUAUAUAUUUUAAUACAUAUAUGUAUAUAUUUAUGUAUAGUUAUUAUUAGUUAUUUUUUAUAUAUUAUUACUGUUUUCAAUAAAUAUCGUAUAUAUUUUUUAAUCUAGUAUUAUAUAUUUUACAUAUAUAUGUUCCCUACUAUUUCAUAUUUACAUUAUUACUAUUAUUAUCAUGUUUAAUAUCAUAUGUAUUAUUAUCAUUUUAUACUAUUAUUAUUUAUAUUAUUAUUAUUAUCGUUUUCGUUAUCAUUGUCAUUUUUAUUUUGCUAUGUUUUAUUUAUUUUUAUUUAUUUAUUUACUUAUGUAUUCGAUCAUUUCAUUUUCCUCAUAUAUUUGUUUAUAUUUACAUAUUACUAGCCUUGCUAUUAUUUCAUCUUUUAUAAUUGCUCAUAUUAUUGUUUUUGAUACUGUCGCACCUUUUAUGUUAUUAUAUGUAUUAAUACCAUAAUUCGCUUUUAUGUUUUACUAUAAAUCACGUUAUAUUUUUUACUCAAUACAUUAAAAUAAUUCUUUCAUAAAAGUAAUAUUCCGUAUUUGGUAAUUUGAGACAAUCGUGCCCUAACUUACUGGGUUUCGAUUUUUCUCAUUUAACCUAAAUAACGGAAUAUUCUUUUAAAUCACAAUACGAGUUUUAAAAAAAUGCUUACUCACGGAGAUACGAGAUGUGGUGCCCUAACUUACCGGGUAUGACAUUUUGUUACCUCGAAAUAACAUUUCUCCCAAGUAAAGGCAAUAUUCGGUAUUUGGGAAAUUCGAGAAAACGUGCCCUAACUUACUGGGUUUCGACUUUUCUCGUCCACCCUAAACGACCGAACAUCUUUUUAAAAAAUGGUUUCGACAUACAAAGGCAAGCUCGUUCUCAAAGUUCGAGAUGUCGUGUCCAAACUUACUGGACUUGGUGUUUUGUUAAUCCGAGACGAGAAAGUCUUUAACAUUUGAGCUUUUUUUCACAAAGAGGGAUUGUAUUUCAAAGUCUUUCAAGUUUUUAAUCUUCGACACUAAGACACUAAUUAAUCAACUAGGUACCAAUUUUUGGGCGUAUCGAGGGUGUUAAUCCUUCCUCGUGUGUAAUCGACUCCCGAACUCAUUUCCUGGUUUUCGUAGACCAAAAAUUGUUUUAGUAAAUCUUAACUUUUAUUAAAAUAAUUAAUUUAAGGUGACCCAAUCACACCUCACCAAAAAGGAUUGGUGGCGACUCCCAUUUUUCAAUUUUCGUUUCCAAAAUCCAAGUCGAUUCCCGUUUUUUAAAAAAAUAGUUUCGACAUCCUUAAUUAAACAUUUCGCUAAAAUUUUUAAACCGAUACUUAAACAAGACUUUAAAUGUAUUGAAUUUCAAUAGAAAAUAUAUAAAAUUUAAAAAAUAAUCUAAGAAUUUAUAAAUGCAAUGCAUAAAAGAAUAUAUGAAAGGAAAAAUGGUAGGAAUGUUUAGAUUUUCUCAUAUUAUGAAUAAUGGAAAACGUGUGCGUUACGAAUUGCGAUGGUCGAAUAAUGUUAACAGGUCACCUUUGGUAAUUUACAUUUUGCACCAUUGAAUUUAAUAUUAUUUUUUUGUGAGUCACAAUUUUUAUUUCAAAUUAUAUUAUUUAUGUUAAUUCCUUUUAACUUUUUUUUUACUUAGUUAAACAUGUCUACUCAUUUACAUUGGGGAUGGUAACGUGUAAAUUUCAAUGUGGUAAAAAGUGGAUUCAAAUUAUCAAUUCGAUUUAAUUUAAUAAUAAUUAAAUAAAAAAUUCAUAAAAAUUAUAAAAUUAUUUAUAAUCUGAUUUUUUUUAAUCAUGAUUUUCGAUUUUUUACCUAUUCAUAACAUGUUUAUUUUGUAUUAUAUUUCAUUCAUUAAACUGAUUAAAUUAUUAAUUUUCAAUUAAACUAAUUGAUUUAAUCCGGUUCUCACAAUACUAACAAAAUUUAUUAGACUAUUUUACAUGUUUAAUUUAUACAAAUCGAACCUUAAAAUAAAAAAAAAUUAUGAAUUAAAAUCCGUCCAGAUUAAUUUUAUUUUAUUAAAGAAAAUAUUUAAUUCUCAAUUGUAAAUCGAACUUUCAAGGGUAAAAAAAAUACCAUGAAGGCCUCUAUAAUAGGAGUCAAAUUGAAUUUUGCUCUUCUACUUAAAAAAUAGGCAAAUUAGCUCUUGUACAUUAGAACAAAUCGAUUCUACUGUUAAAAAUUCCAUCCAAUUCUACAGUUAAAAACUAGUCUCUGUACAUCAACAUGACGUACAUGUGACACACCAUGUGUCACUGCGUGAUUGUUCCGUUAAGCAUAUCAGUCUUUAACAGUAAAAAUAAAUGAAUUUUUUUACAGAAAAGACUAAAUUUCUCUUUGAUCUAAUGUACAUGGACUAAUUUACACAUUAUUUUUAUAAAACAAAUAAAAUACAAUCUAACUCUUAAUAUAAAAACUUCUAUAAUACACGUUUACCAACUUUGCCCAUAAAGUUAACAACAUUUAAGACGUGACCCAUAAAGUCUCUUUGCCCAACUCAUCUAGAGUUCUCUGCUAGAAUUUUAUACAAGCUCAAAGGCAAAAAAAAAAAAAAAACUUAUCCUUAUCCUUUGUUAAAAGUGUGGUUUAAAAUUUUGUACUUUAAAUUGAUUAAUUUUAGUUAUAUAUUUUAUGAAUUAGUCAAUUUUAUUUUUUGUACUUUUCAAAUUUUGAAGUUUUAGUCUUAUCCUAAAUAGUAGCAUUGUAAAUUUAGUCUGUAUUCUUCGAUUGUAUCAUUCUAAGUCUUUGUACUUUUCAAAUUUUAAAAAUUUAAUCUUAAUAUAGAUGUUACUUGUUAAUUCAUUAACUGAAUUUUUAACAAGUAAUAUGUAAAAAUAACGAAUUAAAUAAUACCUCUACCAUAUAAAAAUUGCUUAAAUUAAAGUAUAAAGAAUAAAGUAGGAGAAUUUAUAAGCUAUGCCAGCAAACAGGCAGCUUUGACGGUUUUAAUCCAUGUAACUUAUUCAAUAGGCCAUUGGUGUUUUUUCUUGGAACCCAAACAGUUUGAUGGGCCUUAUCUCUCUUUAGUAAUCCAUGAUAUUGAAAUAAUCUUACAGUAUAUAGUUUGGCACAAAUGUGGUUUUUAUUCAGGCAUUUUAUGAAAUGAUAUGAAAGUCGUAAUGAAGAACAAAAGUCCAAACACUAAUGUCUGUUUCUUUUUGGUGUCAGGGAAAAGAUUCAGUGGGCUCAAUGUGAAGAUUGUUUCAACUUUUCAAGUGGCAUAGAUUUGCCUGGUAAAGUACUGGUUUGAUUAUCACCUUCUCUGCAGUAAUGCAGAUUGCAAUUCAAUCCCUUGUCAGAUGAUGAUCAUAACAUAACAAAAAUCCUCAGCUUUCACCUUUCAAAUGCCAAAUCUACUCGAAUAUCCAGCCCCAGUGAGAACUGUCACUUGGACCAGAUCCUAGCAGUACAUGAAAAGAUUGGCAUAUAUAGUACAUUACGUUUUAAAAAUUAAUGGUGAUAGAUAAUAUGCGAUAAUUGGUCAACCACCUCCUCGACAUCUUUGCUUCGGAGAAGACGGUUAUAGAAAAAGAAAGCACCAGUGUCAACAACCUUGGAGCUAGUUAUCAACAUGCUGAGAGGGGACCAUCCAGCAGUUUUCUCCAUUAAAAACAUCAGCUACUGGCAAUGUACCAUCUUACAUGGACCAUUUUAAGCAUUUUCAAGGUCUAAAUCUCAGUUGGAUUACAAACUGGCAGCUUGGAGAUGGAAACAGAGUGUUGUGAUGGAUGUUGAUGGAUACAGAAAGGAUGACCAGGGUCAAUCAAGCUAUCUUGGUAUCCAAAGGGUUUCAUUGACUGUUCUGAAAUUAACUGAAAGGGUUUCAUUGGCAAUAUCCAAUAAAAAUAAAAUUCAAGUCCCAUCGGAUAAAAAAGUUAUACUUGGAUAAAAUAAAUUCAAGACCGAAUAUGUGAAUAAUUCAAGCCCACCAUUGUCAAGUUCAAACCUCAAAUAAUACAUUAACCUGGCUUUUUUUUGUUAUAAUCCCUAGCUUCCUCCUAGUCUGGCAAUAGCAGCUUGUGAAGAGAGAGACAAUGCCAUAAGUCUCCCAGCAACUCCAAAUAGGUAAAAAAAGUGACACUUUAUAUCAAAGUAGUUCAUAUGCAGCUUCAUCAACUUCAUAUGUAUUUGGUAAAGUAGCAAUUCAUGACUGAAUUGAUCACAAGUUAAAAGAAAAACACAAAGGAACAGCCAUACCUGAUCAACAUGCAAGAUGGAAAUAAGACUGUUCAUCUCAAUAAAUUCUUUGAAAAUGUUGAGAAUGAAGAAAGCAAAACUGUCCACAAUGCAAACACCGUGAAACAACUAUGUCCCAGAAUGUACAACAAUGCCACGCAUGUUCCUCAAAGAGCCAAAAUCAUGAAGGUUAAGAAAGAUCCAAUGCAGCUAGUUGAAGCAUUCUAUGUUAUGGUACUGGAUCAUCUGCAGGUUGAACCAGAACCUCAGUGGCCACUGGCUUGGACAUAGAAGCACUGGUUAAGGCUCAAGGACCACUAACUCGACCACAUUGAAAAUGGCACAGUUUGACAUUCGUAAAUGAAAAUGAAUGCCAGCCUUUGAAUGGAAUUACCCUGGAUUUCAAAACUGUCUGCUAUAUAUUGGAUAAACAAUUUAUAUACAAAACAACAAUCAAGGGGAAUGAAUAUAUUAAUAUUACAAAACCAAAUUAAAGCAUAUAUUCUUUCUCAUAGAACGACAAUCAGCAGCACACAAAUAGCAUCUUGAGCUUUAAACAAUCCAAGAACUCUCAAAAUGAAUACACUGUUUUACCAACUUAAAACAUCCGUUCUCACCAGAUUGAAGCACUAAACAAAAAUAUGGAAAUAUUGGAUUUUACUUUCAAGUACCAGCAUUAGGCAAAGCUGCCAUAAAUGAAUUGUAUGAAGAUUCCAAGUCAAAAUGGAGCUGCCUAGCUUGCUGUUCUGUUAACUCAUCCGCUGCCCCCAUCUUAGCCAACCUUGAAAUCCAUUCCCUCAUUUUGAUCUUCCCCUCGAAAUCAGGUGGCAAAAUACCAAGCUUAUUGAGUGAUGCUGAGAGGUGCAAAGGCUUGGUAUAUUACUAUACUGAAACAAAAAAAGGGGUCAACUUUGGGAUCAACUAAAAUGGGGUUUUAAGUUCAAGUUUUGGAGGAUUGGAGAAGAGAACGGGACACGCGCAAAGAGAACUAAACUUUAUUCACUGC
rnacentral:lncRNA from 1 species